CUCGUCGCGGCGUGGCCAGCAGCAGGGGAGGAGGGGUUUGGCCGGUUGAUUGUGGCGAUUGUUCGAUUCGUCCUCCUUUGUCGUCUGCCACGUGGUACACGCCCGACGAUGGAUAUUUCCCGGUUUAUGCCCGGUUUACGAAUUGCCGGUUUGAUUGUCGCCCAUAGACGCGGGGAGAAUAGGUGUUUAACGAUACGGUAAAUGGUGGAAUUCGUUUACGUUUAGGGAUGAUUCGUCGUAGAUAGGGGGUGUGAAAGAAGGGAACUGGUGGGCAAAGGGGAGAGGGAAAACGGAGCGUGGAGAUGAACAGUUUCGUUCUUUCUUCGUGUGGAGGAUAGGAUGCGUAGCUCGGGAACCACGAAAUGACCGUAUGGAAAUUCGUGUUUUAAAUUAAAGAUCCGUAGACAACGCGGAGCGGCGUAUAGACAAACAAUAGAAACAAUGGAUGCUCGUUGGUCCUGUGCAUUGUACGCCGGUCGUGUGCGUGGUGGGGACCCAUUCUUGAGCGCACAAUGGCUAUAGGGUUUCCCGAAUAAAAAAAAGAGAGAGAGAGAAAGAAAGGAAGAAAGAA